UUCCCGUAGGUAACCUGCGGAAGGAUCAUUACCGAGUGCGGGUCCUUUGGGCCCAACCUCCCAUCCGUGUCUAUUGUACCCUGUUGCUUCGGCGGGCCCGCCGCUUGUCGGCCGCCGGGGGGGCGCCUCUGCCCCCCGGGCCCGUGCCCGCCGGAGACCCCAACACGAACACUGUCUGAAAGCGUGCAGUCUGAGUUGAUUGAAUGCAAUCAGUUAAAACUUUCAACAAUGGAUCUCUUGGUUCCGGCAUCGAUGAAGAACGCAGCGAAAUGCGAUAACUAAUGUGAAUUGCAGAAUUCAGUGAAUCAUCGAGUCUUUGAACGCACAUUGCGCCCCCUGGUAUUCCGGGGGGCAUGCCUGUCCGAGCGUCAUUGCUGCCCUCAAGCCCGGCUUGUGUGUUGGGUCGCCGUCCCCCUCUCCGGGGGGACGGGCCCGAAAGGCAGCGGCGGCACCGCGUCCGAUCCUCGAGCGUAUGGGGCUUUGUCACAUGCUCUGUAGGAUUGGCCGGCGCCUGCCGACGUUUUCCAACCAUUCUUUCCAGGUUGACCUCGGAUCAGGUAGGGAUACCCGCUGAACUUAA
rnacentral:rRNA from 1 species